UACGUAGGGUGCGAGCGUUGUCCGGAAUUAUUGGGCGUAAAGAGCUUGUAGGCGGUUUGUCGCGUCUGCUGUGAAAAUCCGGGGCUCAACCCCGGACUUGCAGUGGGUACGGGCAGACUGGAGUGUGGUAGGGGAGACUGGAAUUCCUGGUGUAGCGGUGGAAUGCGCAGAUAUCAGGAGGAACACCGGUGGCGAAGGCGGGUCUCUGGGCCGCAACUGACACUGAGGGACGAAAGCUAGGGGAGCGAAUGGG
rnacentral:rRNA from 1 species